GGUCCUAUCGGAAAGUGGAAAAUCCGCUCGAUUUUGAUUCGAGAGACCUGGGUUCGAACCCCAGUGGGCCCUGA